GACAGAGGUGCCGAGCGUAGGCGGAAUCACUGGGCUUAAAGCGUGUGUAGGCGGGUGCCUAAGUACCUUGUGAAAUCUCACGGCUCAACCGUGGAACUGCUUGGUAUACUGGGUGCCUUGAGCCACUUAGGGGCUCAACCGGAACAAACGGUGGAGCGGUGAAAUGCGUAGAUAUCGUUUGGAACGCCGAUGGUGAAAACAGGGUUGCUGGGAGUGUGCUGACGCUGAGACACGGAAAGCCAGGGGAGGCAAACGGG
rnacentral:rRNA from 1 species